AACAACACAACAAUUCUGUGGAUUCUGCUGAUGCUGCUGAAGUUUAGGACCUCUGUCUCCCUCUAAUGGACAUCCCAAGAAAUUACAGUACUACAGUUCCCACUAGGAAAUGAUGUAGGAAAGCAAACGUCUUCACACCAGCAACAUUACAACUAACCCUUACACUGAACAAUGCUUACCAACUCUACAUUCACUCUACAGUACUGGCAACUCCUAACAUGCUUCACACAAGUCAUUUUCUCUGGUGAGUGACUAUUUGAAAUACACUAUGGAAGCUCAGUGAAUAUGAGCCCAUUUUUUCUGCCUUCCUGAAGUGAACAUUCCUGGUCAUCCCCAUUUUCCUGGACAGACCUUAGUACACUUGCAGGGUCAGCAAAAGGUUGUCCAGCUUCUGCCAUAAACCCACACUGAUUACAGUUGCAGCAAAAUUGGUUUUGAAAGAAAAGACAAGCAGGCUCAGAAAACAGAUGUGGUCCCAGGCGCAGAGGAAUUCUAAUAAUAUUCCAGACUGUUACACUUAAGCUGCUGAUUCUCUCUCUCUUGCCUUCUCCACCUCCCCUUUGCUGCUCUUUUUCGUCUGCCCAUUGUCUCAUGUCCUGUGAUCAUCUGAUGAAUGAAUUUUGAUACGUUUUUAAAAGAAUCUUGCAGGUAUUUGACUAGCUGUAAUUAAGUCGUCUGCAUACGUCUACUUUUUCAGCACUUUUUUAGUGUCCCAACUUCUAAAGAAAAACAUAUUUUGUCUGAAUGCAUUCCUUCCUCACAUAUGAAUGAGAAUCUUUUACAUAGCCAAUCAUUUGAGGAUCAGCCUCAGUUAUGCAGAAAUAGCCAAAAGGCUUGUCAGGACAAAUCAGGAUCAAUAAAAUCAAUCAAGAUAUGAGUGGGGAGAGUGGAGCCCCUGUCCUGUAUUUCAAACAGAGGAAUCUGGCGAUCCAUGAGCCUCUACAUAGAUAAUGCAGCUAACCAGUGUUAUGUGCUAUUUCAAUCUUCAGACAUCACAUUUCACACACUAAGUGCCCAUGAAAAUGUUCUGUUUAAUACUGAGAAUAGAGAGUGGGCCACUACCAUGAUUCCAUUGAUCACGGCGUUCAGAAAUCUGUCAACACUGUUUUCCAUUUCCAACAGCUUACUCACCUUAUCUCCUUUUCAAGGCAACUGCCCCCUCAAUUAGGACUUGCACUUGAUCCUGACAAGACUGAUUGAGCCCGCGGAGGAGCCUCCCAUGACAAGUGACUGAUUAACAUGGCAGGGGUGAGGCCUGCAGCAGCCAUAGCUCAAGAUGAGAGAUGCCGCCAGGAGAAGUGGGACAAACACAGCCAUCAUUCACUAAUGUCUCAGCAAGGUGUCUAGACAGGGCUAGGGAAUCAGUGAAGGAUGUGGUCCAUCUGACGGAGCCAUAGGGCCAUCUGUCAGCCCAGAGCCAUCAGUCACAUCCUGGUUAGGCCAUCGGCCUCCUGCUAAGCACCAGUAGCGCUCCCCUUCUCUGGACCCUUCCCUGACCUGGGAGAGCACGCAGGGGUGGGAAUACCACCGUACAGUCGCACUCAAUCACACAGAUACUGACCAGAACAGUCUCCGCAUUCUGGAGAAAAGGAGCAGCGAAUGAGCGAAUGAAAGUGAGCAGCGAAUGACCUGAAUGGUGCAGGAUUAUCUGCCCAUGUGCUGCAGACAUGGAAAAAGGAGCAGACAUGUAGGAAGUGCCCUGUGCACUGUGCACUGAGACUUCUGGCACCAGUCAAUCUUGUCCAUCUUGACUUCCCUAAAAGAAGUCUGACCUGGCGAUAGGAUACACUCAUGUUAUCACGACACAAUUGUUAGGUCUGUGAGUAUCAAAUCCACAGAGCUCAGUCCCUGUAUUAAACUAACUUUGCACAGACUGAAUUAAUCAGUGAGCUGAUGGUUUAUAGCAGACUGAUGUGUGGGGGCAGGGGGUUCUCUUUCUCUCUCCCCCAGUGAUCUGUGCAAUCUAUUUCUCAGGCUGACUAAAUUACCUUCAAUUUCUGGCCAUAUAGGCCAACUGUGUGUACAUUAGCACACUCAAAUGACUCUCAGACUCUCAAAAGUGGAAUUACAGAUGUUUUACACAUUACAACUGGAGCUGGAAUCUAAAUCGGUCAAAAAUGAAGCUUAGAUUUAACAGACAUGGCAUGAAAGCAACUCCACUUGCAGAACAUUCUGUAGCAUUUGAUACCAACUGCAUGAAGUAAGUGUAGCAGUGGAUACGCCAGUGGCAGCCCUGAAUUGACUUGGUUUGAACCACACCUGAAGAGUGGACAGCUCAUGUGCUUGUACAUCACCUCAACGAGUAGUCCGAGGCACAACUGCUGUGACUCAAAAACAAAGCAGUUAGAGGUCACAGUUGACUGUCAAUGGCGUCAUGGGUUUAAGGCCUCACAUUAUUUGUUUUCCUUCUGUUUCACAGAUCUUAUUCACAUGCUAAAUAAAUGCCAAACCAAAGGUGA